CCUACGGGCGGCUGCAGUGAGGAAUAUUGGUCAAUGGGAGGAAUCCUGAACCAGCCAUGCCGCGUGCAUGACGACGGCUCUACGAGUUGUAAACUGCUUUUGUACCGGGGUAAAAUGCCUUACGUGUAGUGUUUUGAAAGUACGGUACGAAUAAGGAUCGGCUAACUCCGUGCCAGCAGCCGCGGUAAUACGGAGGAUACGAGCGUUAUCCGGAUUCAGUGGGUGUAAGGGGUGCGUAGGUUGUUUUAUAAGUUAGCGGUGAAAGACCGAUGCUCAACAUCGGGGCUGCAGCUAAUACUGUAGGACUAGAGAGCGGAUGCAGCAGGCGGAAUGUGUAGUGUAGCGGUGAAAUGCAUAGAUAUUACACAGAACACCGAUUGCGAAGGCAGCUUGCUAGGCCGGAUCUGACACUGAGGCACGAAAGCGUGGGGAUCGAACAGGAUUAGAUACCCUUGUAGUC
rnacentral:rRNA from 1 species